UCUUGAAUUCGGUCGAAGUGGGCGGAAUGUGUAAUGUAGCGGUGAAAUGCAUAGAUAUGACACAGAACACCGAUAGCGAAGGCAGCUCACUAGGCCUGGAUUGACGCUCAGGGACGAAAGCGUGGGGAUCAAACAGGAUUAGAUACCCUGGUAGUCCACGCUGUAAACGAUGAUUACUCGUUUCGGCGAUAUACAGUCGGUGACUAAGCGAAA
rnacentral:rRNA from 1 species